UUGUUUGAGAAGGAUGCUAUGUACCUAG
rnacentral:piRNA from 1 species